UUGGGCAGGACCAGCCAGUCUUUGGAGAUCUCUCUGCCAACCCCACAGGGAAACAUGAUGCUGUGGAUCCAGUUGUUUCUCAUUGCAGCAGCACUGGAAGGUGCCCUCUCCCAGGUGGUUCUCACCCAAUCAGGGGCAGCCAUGAAGAAGCCUGGAGAAUCCCACACACUGCAAUGUGUCACCAGUGGGUUCACCCUCAGUGACUAUGGGAUGAACUGGGUCAGGCAGGUACCUGGAAAGGGGCUGGAGUGGCUGAUCUAUUAUUACAGCACCAGCUACAAUUUUUAUGCCUCCUCCAUCAAGGGGCGAUUCACAGCCUCCAAGGACAGUUCCACCUUCUACCUACAAAUGAGCAGCCUGGAAGCUAGUGACACAGCUGUGUAUUACUGUGCAAGAUACACAGGGAUGGAAAGUGAAAGGGAGCUCAGACAAAAACCCUUCGCUGCAAUAGCAGAUGGCCUGCUGUGCUGA